UACGAAGGGAGCUAGCGUUGUUCGGAAUCACUGGGCGUAAAGCGCACGUAGGCGGAUUGUUUAGUCAGGGGUGAAAUCCCGGGGCUCAACCUCGGAACUGCCUUUGAUACUGGCAAUCUCGAGUCCGAUAGAGGUGGGUGGAAUUCCUAGUGUAGAGGUGAAAUUCGUAGAUAUUAGGAAGAACACCGGUGGCGAAGGCGGCCCACUGGAUCGGUACUGACGCUGAGGUGCGAAAGCGUGGGGAGCAAACAGG
rnacentral:rRNA from 1 species